rnacentral:ncRNA from 1 species
CAAAGGUUUGGUCCUGACUUUUCUGUCAACUCUAACUAAACUUACACAUGCAAGUAUCCGCACCCCCGUGAGGAUGCCCUACAGUUUUCUUCUCGAAAACAAGGAGCUGGUAUCAGGCACAACCCACAUUAAGCCCACGACACCUUGCGUAGCCACACCCCCAAGGGUAUUCAGCAGUGAUAAACAUUAAGCCAUAAGUGAAAACUUGACUCAGUUACAGUUAAUAGAGCCGGUAAAACUCGUGCCAGCCACCGCGGUUAUACGAGAGACUCAAGUUGACAGACCACGGCGUAAAGAGUGGUUAAGAUUACAAAAAAAUAAAGUCGAACGCUUUCAAAGCUGUUAUACGCAUUCGAAAGUAAGAAGCUCAUUCACGAAGGUAACUUUACACAAAUCUGACUCCACGAAACAAACUGGGAUUAGAUACCCCAGAUACCCCACUAUGCUUAGCCCUAAACAUUAAUAGCACCCUACACCAGCUAUUCGCCAGGGAACUACGAGCCCCAGCUUAAAACCCAAAGGACUUGGCGGUGCUUUAAACCCCCCUAGAGGAGCCUGUUCUAUAAUCGAUAAUCCCCGUUCAACCUCACCUUCUUUUGUUUAACCCGCCUAUAUACCGCCGUCGUCAGCUUACCCUUUGAAGGUUUAAUAGUAAGCAUAAUUGGCUUAGCCCUAAACGUCAGGUCAAGGUGUAGCGCAUGAGAAGGAAAGAAAUGGGCUACAUUCACUUCCUAAGUGAACACGAAUGAUAAAUUGAAACAUUUAUCUGAAGGAGGAUUUAGUAGUAAGUAGAAAAUAGAGUGUUCUACUGAAACCGGCCCUAAAGCGCGCACAUACCGCCCGUCACUCUCCCCAAGGCCCCCCCCAUAAACCCCCCUUUCCCCUCACCUAAACCCUUUAACUAAAUACAAAACCUACUACACGGGGAGACAAGUCGUAACAUGGUAAGUGUACCGGAAGGUGUACUUGGGACAAC